AGCUUGCUUCUAUGACGUUAGCGGCGGACGGGUGAGUAACACGUGGGCAACCUGCCUGUAAGACUGGGAUAACUUCGGGAAACCGAAGCUAAUACCGGAUAGGAUCUUCUCCUUCAUGGGAGAUGAUUGAAAGAUGGUUUCGGCUAUCACUUACAGAUGGGCCCGCGGUGCAUUAGCUAGUUGGUGAGGUAACGGCUCACCAAGGCAACGAUGCAUAGCCGACCUGAGAGGGUGAUCGGCCACACUGGGACUGAGACACGGCCCAGACUCCUACGGGAGGCAGCAGUAGGGAAUCUUCCGCAAUGGACGAAAGUCUGACGGAGCAACGCCGCGUGAGUGAUGAAGGCUUUCGGGUCGUAAAACUCUGUUGUUAGGGAAGAACAAGUACGAGAGUAACUGCUCGUACCUUGACGGUACCUAACCAGAAAGCCACGGCUAACUACGUGCCAGCAGCCGCGGUAAUACGUAGGUGGCAAGCGUUAUCCGGAAUUAUUGGGCGUAAAGCGCGCGCAGGCGGUUUCUUAAGUCUGAUGUGAAAGCCCACGGCUCAACCGUGGAGGGUCAUUGGAAACUGGGGAACUUGAGUGCAGAAGAGAAAAGCGGAAUUCCACGUGUAGCGGUGAAAUGCGUAGAGAUGUGGAGGAACACCAGUGGCGAAGGCGGCUUUUUGGUCUGUAACUGACGCUGAGGCGCGAAAGCGUGGGGGAGCAAACAGGAUUAGAUACCCUGG
rnacentral:rRNA from 2 species